CCUACGGGUGGCAGCAGUGGGGAAUAUUGGACAAUGGGGGCAACCCUGAUCCAGCCAUGCCGCGUGUGUGAAGAAGUCCCUCGGGUUGUAAAGCACUUUCAGUGAGGAAGAACGCCUGGUGGUUAAUACCCAUCAGGAAAGACAUCACUCACAGAAGAAGCACCGGCUAACUCCGUGCCAGCAGCCGCGGUAAUACGGAGGGUGCGAGCGUUAAUCGGAAUUACUGGGCGUAAAGCGCGCGUAGGUGGCUUGAUAAGCCGGUUGUGAAAGCCCCGGGCUCAACCUGGGAACGGCAUCCGGAACUGUCAAGCUAGAGUGCAGGAGAGGAAGGUAGAAUUCCCGGUGUAGCGGUGAAAUGCGUAGAGAUCGGGAGGAAUACCAGUGGCGAAGGCGGCCUUCUGGACUGACACUGACGCUGAGGUGCGAAAGCGUGGGUAGCAAACAGGAUUAGAUACCCCAGUAGUC
rnacentral:rRNA from 1 species